rnacentral:rRNA from 6 species
CGUCAUGAAAGUCGGUAACACCCGAAGCCAGUGGCCUAACCCUUGGGAGGGAGCUGUCGAAGGUGGGAUCGGCGAUUGGGACGAAGUCGUAACAAGGUAGCCGUACCGGAAGGUGCGGCUGGAUCACCUCCUUUCU